UACGUAGGGGGCAAGCGUUAUCCGGAUUUACUGGGUGUAAAGGGAGCGUGGGUGGCGUGCCAAGUCAGGAGUGAAAACCCAGGGCCCAACCCUGGGACUGCUCUUGAAACUGGCAGGCUUGAGUGCUGGAGAGGUAAGCGGAAUUCCUAGUGUAGCGGUGAAAUGCGUAGAUAUUAGGAGGAACACCAGUGGCGAAGGCGGCUUACUGGACAGUGACUGACACUGAGGCUCGAAAGCGUGGGGAGCAAACAGG
rnacentral:rRNA from 1 species